UAUCCAGCAGCCGCGUCUCAGGAGGAUCAUUUAACCGAAAUAAUUGCCAAACAUUGUUUACCUUGUUAGCCGUUAGAAGCUAGCUCGUAAACUUGUGCGAGUUAAUAAGCAGAAGCAAGCAAGCAAGCAGCCAGCCAGGCCGGCGGAGCUAAGCAAGCUUGAGUGCGAAACCGUGUGUAAAUUAGCGUCUUCAAUUUGUAACCAUUCGCUUGACUUUACGCCGCAGUUCCGAGUGGCUUCGCGAGAGACGAGUGCCGGGAUAACGAGAUACUCGCGCAACUGAAACGCAGUGAAACAUCCGGAAAAUUAUAUAUUUUUACGCUAGAGAGAUUGAUAGAGGGAACGGAGAAUCUUUUUGUGAAAAUUGCAUCUAUAUGAGCAUACAUCCAGUAAUUAGGUCCAAGUACAUUAAAUUUCGUAUUAUGAAGUACACAAAUUAAGAAAGUGCAUAGGAAAGUUUGUUUCACUCAAGUAGCAAACGGUAUUCAGACUAUUGUGUACGAAUCCUCGCAACAACUGUACAAAAGUCAACAGCCAUACUCCAAGAACCCAUAAAACCAAAUCAUCGUGGAAAUCCGUGUAGCAAGUGCACACCACAGUGGAUCACCCUCACGCCAAAGCUAACCUCUUCCUCUCUAUACCUGUAUCUCAUCUUUCGCUCUAUCUCUCUGUACAUGAUCGAAGAUCGUGGCAGUUGGAAGCAUGCGGAUGUCGGAGAGAAGAAAGGAGAGACAGCUAGCUAGAAUGCAGACGAAGGGAAAGCGGAAAGAGGAGAAGGAGGAACGAGAGGCUGCCGGUUCAGCUGCAUUAAUUAAACUAGCGGAGGACAAUGAGCCUGUCUGCCGGCUCGCUUGCCUCGCUGUGUAAUUCACGCCUCUCACGGGAAAGGCAACCCUUCGACUUUGCUUUCCAGUUUCAACCUUCCUAUGGAUAAUUACCUACGCCCAGAGUCUCGUCUCUCUGUGUCCCACCUUCUCUCGUUCAUUCUCCCGUUUGUCUGUUGUUUUCUUUCGUUUUUACAUCCGCGACUUUCCAGUUCUUUUGCGACACGCGUCGCGCGUGACCGAGCGUACUAUUGCACCAUGAUGAGCUUGUCGUCUUUGGAUAAGUUGACUGAUUUGAAUGAAGUGAAUUGAAAGCAAUAUCGGGAUAUUUCGAGUUUGGCAACUGUAUUGAUGGAAAUAUUUUGAGGAGGGUUUUCGGCAUUGAUAAGAAAGGGUCUGCUAGAAAAUGCGAAAAGGUUAAAUACGUGAUAUUCUUAACUUUCUAAAUAAAUAUUUCAAUUUGUAUUAUAUCAUAAAUAAUGCAUUUCAAUUGAUGUCAUGUUCUUUAUUUAGUUAUGUACAAAAGUUUAAAGCUAACCAAAUAAUUGUGAGAAUAAGACAUUGAGAAAUAGAUUAUCUGAGACAAUAAUGUUUAUUUAUUGAUUGCAAAUUUGACCUAUAUAUGACAUUUAAAAAAGGUAAUUAAUUCCAUUAACUGGAAGAAACAUAAUAACAGUCGUACAUAGUAAGUAAAAGUCUUGGUAAGGAUGCAUGUUGACAAAUCUGUUGUCUUCGUCAAAAUUAGAUAACGAAUAAACAUACUAACAGUAAGAAAUAGUUUAUAUAGUGAAGCAACAAAUAUUUUAUUUGAUUUC